GGAAUAAGCCUCGGCUAACUACGUGCCAGCAGCCGCGGUAAAACGUAGGAGGCGAGCGUUAUCCGGAUUUACUGGGUGUAAAGCGCGUGCAGGCGGUAAGCUAAGUUGGGUGUGAAAGCUCCUGGCUCAACUGGGAGAGGUCGCUCAAGACUGGCUAACUCGAGGAUGGUAGGGGAAGGUGGAAUUCCGGGUGUAGUGGUGAAAUGCGUAGAUAUCCGGAGGAACACCAGUGGCGAAGGCGGCCUUCUGGACCAUCACUGACGCUCAGACGCGAAAGCUAGGGUAGCAAACGGGAUUGGAGACCCCGGUAGUCCUAGCCGUAAACGAUGUGAACUUGGCGCUGGUCGGGUAAAACUGAUCCGUGCCGUAGCAAACGCGAUAAGUUCACCACCUGGGGACUACGGCCGCAAGGUUAAAGCUCAAAGGAAUUGACGGGGGCCCGCACAAGCAGCGGAGCGUGUGGUUUAAUUCGAUGCUACACGAAGAACCUUACCAGGGCUUGACAUGGAAGUGGUAGUGAAGCGAAAGCGGAACGACCCUUCGGGGAGCUUACACAGGUGCUGCAUGGCUGUCGUCAGCUCGUGUCGUGAGAUGUUCGGUUAAGUCCGCUAACGAGCGCAACCCUCGCCGCGUGUUAUACGUGUCACGCGGGACUGCCAGUCUUAAGCUGGAGGAAGGUGGGGAUGACGUCAAGUCAGCAUGGCCUUUAUGUCCUGGGCUACACACACGCUACAAUGGCCGGUACAGUAGGUAGCGAAGCCGCGAGGUGGAGCCAAUCCACAAAGCCGGUCUCAGUUCAGAUUGCAGGCUGCAACCCGCCUGCAUGAAGACGGAGUUGCUAGUAACCGCAGGUCAGCUAUACUGCGGUGAAUACGUUCCCGGGCCUUGCACACACCGCCCGU
rnacentral:rRNA from 1 species